rnacentral:tRNA from 1 species
GGGUUGAAGGUAUUGUUCAGAGGUAGAGUGCUUGCCUAACAUGCAUGAGGCCCUGGGUUCAAUCUGCAGCUAGCCCC